UACGUAGGGUGCGAGCGUUAAUCGGAAUUACUGGGCGUAAAGGGUGCGUAGGCGGGUCUUUAAGUCAGGGGUGAAAUCCUGGAGCUCAACUCCAGAACUGCCUUUGAUACUGAGGAUCUUGAGUUCGGGAGAGGUGAGUGGAACUGCGAGUGUAGAGGUGAAAUUCGUAGAUAUUCGCAAGAACACCAGUGGCGAAGGCGGCUCACUGGCCCGAUACUGACGCUGAGGCACGAAAGCGUGGGGAGCAAACAGG
rnacentral:rRNA from 1 species